UAAUUCUCAAUAAAAUAAUAAAAUUCUUGUCUAACAAUAAUUGUCAUAACAAAAUAGUAAUUAAUAUUGAUCAAAAAGAUGUCAAUCUACUUGCAUAUUUUAUAUCUAUGCUUGACUUUUCUCAUAUAUUCUAA